AUGGAGGCAGAGAAGAUCUUGUUCAUUGAUGAAAUGAAGAGCUUAAGCCAGCUUGCGCUGCCGCGGUGGAUGAUGCUUGGAGAUUUUAACAUGAUUUACAGAGCCAAUGACAAGAGCAAUAACAAUCUUAAUCUGUGCAUGAUGGGUCGCUUCAGGACUGCCAUAGAGGACAUGGGGCUAAUUGAUCUUCCACUCCUUGGAAGGCGCUUUACAUGGUCCAGUGAGCGGGAAAAUGUCACGCUCACUAAAAUUGAUAGGAUGCUUGUGUCCAGUGAUUGGGAGGCUUCGUUCCCACAGUACCAACUGUCACCAGCUUCGACGAAUGUGUCUGAUCACUGCCCCAUUAUUCUGAGAAAGAUGGAGUGCUCACACUACAAGGCGUUUAGAUUUGAGAAUCAUUGGCUAAAAGACCAAGGUUUCGAUGACAUUGUCAGCCAGGCAUGGACCAAGGAGGUCAAAUCAGCGAAUCCAGUGAGGGUGUUGCACACCAAGCUAUCUAGAACGGCGAAUGCCUUGCGUUUGUGGAACAAGCAAAGAAUGAGGUGGGUUGUUUUCAUGUCCAAGGUGGCAAGCGAAAUCAUUUUCAGGUUUGAUCUGGCCCAUGAGGAAAGAACUCUCUCUGAAGAGGAGCGUCGGUUGCGUGGACUCUUCAAGGUCAGAUUGUUGGGCCUGGCGGCAAUUGAUAGAGCGCGGUGGAGACAAAAGUCUAGACUGACAGAAAUACAAGAAGGUGAUGCAAGCACCCGAUUUUUUCAUAAAAGGGCCAGUGGGCGGUGGCGCAAGAACCACAUUCCAGCGUUGUUAGGGAGCAGUGGGCUGGUCACAGACCAGAAUGGCAAAGCUAAAAUUCUCCUCGAUAGAUUUCAAGGGCUCAUGGGGACCCCCUUCGCCGGCACAACAAAGCUGAAGUGGGAUUUCCUUGGUUUGCCAAGAAGGGACCUGCAGCAUUUGGACGCGCCGUUCACAGAGCAGGAGUUGAAGACGGCUGUUAAUGAGGUGCAUGGGGAGAAGGCGCCGGGGCCAGAUGGUUUCACGGGGGCUUUUUUCAAGCGAUGUUGGUCCAUAAUCAAAGAGGAUCUGUUGGCCGCCGUAAACUCUGUACACUCGUUGCGUGGGCAAAACUGGCAUCUGCUCAACACGAUUAACAUUGCUCUGCUGCCAAAGAAAGAAGGAGCUCAACAGGCCUCUGACUUUAGACCUAUCAGCCUAAUGCAUUCGGUUCUAAAGCUUGUGAGUAAGAUGAUGGCCUCCAGAUUGGCUCUAGAAAUUCAAUGGCUUGUCACGAACAAUCAAAGUGCUUUCAUAAGAGGUCGAGCUAUCCAAGACGAUUUCUUAUAUGUCAAGAAUGUCAUCAAGGCGGCUCAUUCUGCAAAAUUUCCCCUUGUGUUCCUGAAGUUGGAUAUAGCUAAAGCUUUUGACUCUGUGGGAUGGGGAUAUCUGCUUGAGGUCAUGGAGGUAAUGGGCUUUGGGCAGCGGUGGCGUGAUAUGGUGUCGCUCAUUUUGUCAACUUCCUCGUCAAGGGUCUUGCUCAAUGGAUCACCAGGAGUUCCCUUUCUCCAUAGACGGGGGCUGCGACAGGGGGAUCCUCUAUCCCCGCUGCUCUUCAUCAUUGCAAUGGAGCCACUGCAAAGAUUACUAACUCUGGCCACAGACAGACGAGUUCUCUCGCCUUUGAGAUCCCAUGUUGCUCGGUUCAGGUCAAGCUUUUACGCUGAUGACGCUGCUCUAUUCAUCAAUCCAACUCAGGAGGAUUUUAUGGCUGUUCAACAAAUAUUACUGCUGUUUGGUAAUGCCUCGGGCCUCACUACAAAUAUGGAGAAAACAGUGGCAUACCCUAUUGUGUGCACAACCAAUGAUAUCGCCCCCAUGAUAGCACAGUUUGGUGGGCUGCUAGGAUCUUUCCCUUGCCAGUAUUUGGGCUUGCCGCUUGGUACCAGGAAGCCGAGGAGGGCUGAGGUCCAGCCGGUGAUUGAUAAGAUUGCAGGAAAACUCUCUCCCCGAAAGGGACGCCUGAUGAACAGAAAACUACUAGGGAAAACGCUAUACACAGAGGUAUAG
rnacentral:rRNA from 1 species